AUGGAUGAAGCGAAGAAAGAUCUUUAUGAAGGAUGUAGUGAUUUCACACGGCUGUCGUUCAUUAUAAAGCUCCUCCAUAUCAAAUCAUACAACCGGAUUACAAAUAGAGCAUUUAAUCAGUUUGUUGAGCUGAUUAGUGUGGCGUUUCCACAUGCUGAUAUACCUAAAUCAUACACUGAAUCUAAGAAUGUUCUUAGUGAAGUCGGGUUGGGUUAUGAGACAAUUCAUGUUUGCAAGUUUGAUUGUGCAUUGUUUUGGGGCCAACAUGCCAACAAGAGCCAUUGUCCUGAAUGCGGGACAUCAAGAUGGAAAGACGAGGUGGGGAGGAAAAAGAUACCUCACAAGGUACUUAGGUACUUUCCUAUCAUCCCAAGGCUUCAAAGAUUUUUUGUGUCAAAGGAACAAUCAGCAGAUGCAAGGUGGCAUAAGGAGAAGAGGGUUGCUAAGGCAAAUGUUAUGAGACACCCUGCUGAUGGUGAAGCAUGGAAGCAUUUUGAUAGUGUGUUCGGUUGGUUUGCUAAGGAUGCCCGUAAUAUGAAGCUUGGUAUUGCCACGGAUGGAUCCAACCCCUUUGGAAACAUGACGAGUUCAUAUAGUAUGUGGCCUGUUUUUAUCAUCCCCUACAACUUCCCACCCUGGAUGUGCAUGGACCAAUCUAAUUUUAUGAUGUCUUUGCUUAUUCCUGGGAGAAAAGCACCUGGAAAGGAGUUCCAUGUAUUUAUGCAACCGCUGAUUGCAGAUAUGAUGAAGCUUUGGGUAACUGGUGUGGAAACAUAUGAUGCAUUGACGGGGGAACCAUUUAAUUUGCAUGCAGCAUUCUUGUGGUCGACUCAUGAUUACCCUGGACUGGCCACUUUA
rnacentral:rRNA from 1 species